rnacentral:rRNA from 1 species
AAUGAACGCUGGCGGCAUGCCUUACACAUGCAAGUCGAACGGCAGCAUGACCUAUCUUGCUAGGUUGAUGGCGAGUGGCGAACGUGUGAGUAAUGCAUCGGAACGUGCCUUUUAGUGGGGGAUAACGUAGCGAAAGUUACGCUAAUACCGCAUAUUCUCUGAGGAGGAAAGCAGGGGACCUUCGGGCCUUGCGCAUGAAGAGCGGCCGUUGUCGGAUUAGCUAGUUGGUGAGGUAAAGGCUCACCACGGCGACGAUCCGUAGCGGGUGCGCGGGGAGGAUGCGCCACACUGGGACUGAGCCGCGGCCCUGGGACCUACGGGAGGCCGAGGUGGGGAAUGUUGGACAAUGGGCGCAAGCCUGAUCCAGCCGCGCCGGGUGGGUGAAGAAGGCCUUCGGGUUGUAAAGCUCUUUCGGCUGGGAAGAAAUCGCACCCUCUAAUACAGGGUGUGGAUGACGGUACCAGCAUAAGAAGCACCGGCUAACUACGUG